ACUUCUUCCUAGAGUCAUACCUAAAAGAUGAACUCCUAAAACCUCACUUGGAAAUUUGCCUGGUUUGCCAGGUGAACCUGGUCUCAGGCAUUCACAGCCAUCACAGACUACAAAAGCCAUGGUGGCCUGCUUAUUAUUGGGUAUUCCAGGGAAAUAGCAACACAGGCCUCAUCUGGAUAAACUAUCCAUCAUCUCCCUGAAGGGAGGCUACAAGGGGAACUAGAUGGGGAGUCCCACUCUGUUCUUGCAAGGUGACUGGAUGCUAUGAUUCUGUGCUGGUGUGUCUGAUCCCUAUCCCUAGAGGUACCAACAUUGCCACUAUCCCAUGGUUAAGAAGCUGCUGCUGGCUAGUAUUGACAAGUCAGGGCUAUAUCGACAGCCUGAACAACUGUGCUAAAGCCACCUCUGAUACCAUAUUGAAAAACCUACAGGUAUCAUUCCUUGACUUCUGGAAAGAGACUGUGUUCUCCACAUCUCCUUCCAGGAAUUAACUGCCCAUCUUAUAGAGACCACACCUGAAUUCACUCCAGAGAACCAGGUCC
rnacentral:lncRNA from 1 species